CAGUAUAUAUUUUAAAAAAAAUAUUAAUUUUGGAGAUUAAUGAUAAUAUAAAUUAUAUUUAUACUGA
rnacentral:tRNA from 1 species